GGCGUGAGAGUGGCUACAGGGGAGUUCACCAAAAGUUUAAUCCAGCCUCUGGACAUUUUUGAUAAAGAGCAAUUUGCAGGUCAGGCUGGCCUUGUGAGUCCCACAUACAUCACAGACUGUGUGGUCGAGGACCCGCUCCCAAUAUAAAUAUAAAAGGUUCAUUCUAAGCCAGAAUAUGGCGGUGCAUUAUGGGGGACUCCAUGGACAAGGACCCAUUCCCUAUAUAGAUAUUCUAAGGCCAACCAAUCAGAGCAGGAUUCACACUCUGGAACAGACCACCAGCUCAGUGGACUGUCGGGAAACAUCUGCAGGGGUUAGCGAGGCCGUCGGACACAUUUUAAGUAAACCCAAGAUAACUGAAGCUUCUGGGUCACUGCUGUUAAUGGUCUGACCCGCCGACAGAACACUUAUACAACACUUUUUAAAAAAUGACUGAUCUUUGAAC